GCAUUAAUGGGGUAGUGGUAACCUGGGUCGUUGCCAUAUCUGCUCUUCAUGGGAUGUCGACCCGCCGGGGGUUCGAUUCCCUCUUAAUGCA